AUUGGGUAGGGGAGCGUUCUGUAAGCGGUUGAAGGUGUGUGGUAACGCAUGCUGGACGUAUCAGAAGUGCGAAUGCUGACAUGAGUAACGAUAAAGGGGGUGAAAAACCUCCUCGCCGGAAGACCAAGGGUUCCUGUCCAACGUUAAUCGGGGCAGGGUAAGUCGACCCCUAAGGCGAGGCCGAAAGGCGUAGUCGAUGGGAAACGGGUUAAUAUUCCCGUACUUCUUACAAUUGCGAUGGGGGGACGGAGAAGGCUAG
rnacentral:rRNA from 1 species